rnacentral:rRNA from 1 species
AUUGAACGCUGGCGGCAGGCUUAACACAUGCAAGUCGAGCGGAGAUGAGGUGCUUGCACCUUAUCUUAGCGGCGGGCGGGUGAGUAAUGCUUAGGAAUCUGCCUAUUAGUGGGGGACGACAUCUCGAAAGGGAUGCUAAUACCGCAUACGUCCUACGGGAGAAAGCAGGGGACCUUCGGGCCUUGCGCUAAUAGAUGAGCCUAAGUCGGAUUAGCUAGUUGGUGGGGUAAAGGCCUACCAAGGCGACGAUCUGUAGCGGGUCUGAGAGGAUGAUCCGCCACACUGGGACUGAGACACGGUCCAGACUCCUACGGGAGGCAGCAGUGGGGAAUAUUGGACAAUGGGGGCAACCCUGAUCCAGCCAUGCCGCGUGUGUGAAGAAGGCCUUCGGGUUGUAAAGCACUUUCAGCGAGGAGGAAGGGUGAUGUUUUAAUAGAGCAUCAUUUUGACGUUACUCGCAGAAGAAGCACCGGCUAACUCUGUGCCAGCCGCCGCAGUAAAAC